AACGAACGCUGGCGGCAUGCCUAACACAUGCAAGUCGAACGAGACCUUCGGGUCUAGUGGCGCACGGGUGCGUAACGCGUGGGAACCUGCCCUUAGGUUCGGAAUAACUCCCCGCAAGGGGUGCUAAUACCGGAUAUUGUCUUCGGACCAAAGAUUUAUCGCCUUUGGAUGGGCCUGCGUUGGAUUAGCUUGUUGGUAGGGUAAAAGCCUACCAAGGCUACGAUCCAUAGCUGGUCUGAGAGGAUGAUCAGCCACACUGGGACUGGGACACGGCCCAGACUCCUACGGGAGGGAGCAGUGGUGAAGAUUGGACGAUGGGCGAAAGCCUGAUCCAGCAAUGCCGCGUGAGUGAUGAAGGCCUGAGGGUUGUAAAGCUCUGUUACCCUGGAUGAUAAUGACAGUACCGGGAGAAUAAGCACCGGCUAACUCCGU
rnacentral:rRNA from 1 species